rnacentral:rRNA from 1 species
UACGGAGGGUGCAAGCGUUAUCCGGAUUCACUGGGGUUAAAGGGUGCGUAGGUGGGUUGGUAAGUCAGUGGUGAAAUCUCCGUGCCUAACAUGGAAACUGCCAUUGAUACUACCGGUCUUGAAUUUUCUGGAGGUCAGCGGAAUAUGUCAUGUAGCGGUGAAAUGCUUAGAUAUGACAUAGAACACCAAUUGCGAAGGCAGCUGGCUACAGGGAUAUUGACACUGAGGCACGAAAGCGUGGGGAUCAAACAGG